rnacentral:rRNA from 1 species
CAGUAGCCGCGGGAAUACGGAGGGCGCGAGCGUUACCCGGAUUUACUGGGCGUAAAGGGCGUGUAGGCGGCCUGGGGCGUCCCAUGUGAAAGGCCACGGCUCAACCGUGGAGGAGCGUGGGAUACGCUCAGGCUAGAGGGUGGGAGAGGGUGGUGGAAUUCCCGGAGUAGCGGUGAAAUGCGCAGAUACCGGGAGGAACGCCGAUGGCGAAGGCAGCCACCUGGUCCACUUCUGACGCUGAGGCGCGAAAGCGUGGGGAGCAAACCGGAUUAGAUACCCGGGUAGUCCCUGUCUCUUAUAC